rnacentral:lncRNA from 1 species
GGAUACUCCAACAGAUGAAGACAGGUCUCUGUUCUUUGAUCGUCUCAUAGAAGCUGCUUUGUCAAUUCAAGUUGAAGCUACAAAGAAGUCCGAUAAAUUGGACUCCCUUCCUGACCUUCCAAAGGCACCAAAGGUGUCUGCUGGACCAAAGGCAUCUGAAUUAAAAGCCAAAGCUGAAGCUCAGGGCCAUGCCCUUAGGCGAUUGAGGAUGUGCGAAGAAGUCCGAUAAAUUGAACGCCCUUCCUGACCUCCCAAAGGCACCAAAGGUGUCUGCUGGACCAAAGGCAUCUGAAUUAAAAGCCUUAGCUGAAGCUCAGGGCCAUGCCCUUAGGCGAUUGAGGAUGUGCCUGCGUGAUGUAUGCAACCG